AGUGAACGCUGGCGGUAGGCCUAACACAUGCAAGUCGAACGGCAGCGCGGGUAGCUUGCUACCUGGCGGCGAGUGGCGGACGGGUGAGUAAUAUGUAGGAAUCUAACUAGAGGAGCGAGAUAACUUGGGGAAACUCAAGCUAAUAACACAUAAUCCCCACGGGGGAAAGCAGGGGACAUUCGGGACUUGCGCCUUAUGAUGAGGGCACAUCGGAUUAGCUUGUUGGUGGGGUAAAGGCCUACCAAGGCGACGAUCCGUAGCUGGUCUGAGAGGAUGAUCAGCCACACUGGAACUGAGACACGGUCCAGACUCCUACGGGAGGCAGCAGUGGGGAAUAUUGGACAAUGGGGGGAACCCUGAUCCAGCAAUGCCGCGUGUGUGAAGAAGGCCUUAGGGUUGUAAAGCACUUUCAGUGGAGAGGAAGUUGCGUGUGCUAAUAUCAUACGUAAUUGACGUUACCCACAGAAGAAGCACCGGCUAACUCUGUGCCAGCAGCCGCCGUAA
rnacentral:rRNA from 1 species